UCCAGACUCCUACGGGAGGCAGCAGUGGGGGAUAUUGCACAAUGGGGGGAACCCUGAUGCAGCGACGCCGCGUGGGUGAAGGAGCGUUUCGGUGCGUAAAGCCCUAUCGGCAGGGAAGAAGGAGGACGGUACCUGACUAAGAAGCCCCGGCUAACUACGUGCCAGCAGCCGCGGUAAUACGUAGGGGGCAAGCGUUAUCCGGAUUUACUGGGUGUAAAGGGGGCGCAGACGGCAGCGCAAGCCAGGAGUGAAAGCCCGGGGCCCAACCCCGGGACUGCUCUUGGAACUGCGCGGCUGGAGUGCAGGAGGGGCAGGCGGAAUUCCUGGUGUAGCGGUGAAAUGCGUAGAUAUCAGGAGGAACACCGGUGGCGAAGGCGGCCUGCUGGACUGCGACUGACGUUGAGGCCCGAAAGCGUGGGGAGCAAACAGGAUUAGAUGCCCCAGUACA
rnacentral:rRNA from 1 species